CUUUGGUGGUACCCGCACAGUUUUUGCAAAGAUCCUCAUCUGCUGGUCAAGCCCUUCACACUUAACUGAGGACUCAAUUUAAACAGUUCCUAUUAAAUUUACAUUUGGAACCUUGAACAUCUGGUAGGCAUAAUUAUAAAAGUAUAGUUUUUAUUCAGGCAGAGCUGAGCAAAUUGAACGUGGAAGAAGGAUUCUUUUAAAUGGCAGUUUUAACACAAAGUGUGAUUAUUCUAAGCAAAAACAAAUUAAAAUAUGUACCAGACUUUAAGAGUGUCUUCUCUGUGAAUGAUUAUGAAAGCAUUUUCCAAAAGAUAGGAGAAAUACACUCCACGAACUCCAGGAAUUUGCAAUUUGGGAAAUUA